rnacentral:tRNA from 1 species
ACCUAGGUGGUGUAGUGGUCAAGACGCUCGCCUGGUAAACAGGAGGGCGUGGGUUCAAUCCCAGCCAAGGUG